rnacentral:rRNA from 1 species
UACGGAGGGGGCUAGCGUUGUUCGGAAUUACUGGGCGUAAAGCGCACGUAGGCGGCUUUGUAAGUUAGAGGUGAAAGCCCAGGGCUUAACCCUGGAAUUGCCUUUAAGACUGCAUCGCUAGAAUCGUGGAGAGGUGAGUGGAAUUCCGAGUGUAGAGGUGAAAUUCGUAGAUAUGGGGAGGAACACCGGUGGCGAAGGCGGCCAUCUGGACGGAUACUGACGCUGAGACGCGAAAGCGUGGGGAGCAAACAGG